rnacentral:lncRNA from 1 species
CAGCACUCAGAAGAAACCAGCCCUGCUGACACUUCGAGUUCAGACUUUUAGCUUCCAGAACUGUGAGACUAUACGGUUUUGUUGUUUAAGACCCCCGGUUUGUAGUACUUUGUUACAGCAGUCCUAGCCAAUGAAUACAGGUAUAUUAUGAGGACUUUAGUCUUUUACUUCUUUUUUCUUUACAAGUUUUUUAAAUAGAAAAGUAGAAGUAAGAAAAUAAAGCAGAAAAAAAUG